rnacentral:rRNA from 1 species
GAUGAACGCUGGCGGCGUGCCUAAUACAUGCAAGUCGAGCGAACAGACGAGGAGCUUGCUCCUCUGACGUUAGCGGCGGACGGGUGAGUAACACGUGGAUAACCUACCUAUAAGACUGGGAUAACUUCGCGAAACCGGAGCUAAUACCGGAUAAUAUAUUGAACCGCAUGGUUCAAUAGUGAAAGACGGUUUUGCUGUCACUUAUAGAUGGAUCCGCGCCGCAUUAGCUAGUUGGUAAGGUAACGGCUUACCAAGGCGACGAUGCGUAGCCGACCUGAGAGGGUGAUCGGCCACCCUGGAACUGAGACACGGUCCAGACCCCUACGGGAGGCAGCAGUAGGGAAUCUUCCGCAAUGGGCGAAAGCCUGACGGAGCAACGCCGCGUGAGUGAUGAAGGUCUUCGGAUCGUAAAACUCUGUUAGUAGGGAAGAACAAAUGUGUAAGUAACUAUGCACGUCUUGACGGUACCUAAUCAGAAAGCCACGGCUAACCACGUG